UGGCGCUAUUCACUCGAGGAAUGGCGGAUUUCUUUUUGGUAGUGUGUAUGUCGGUAGUCUAGUUCUUGGCUGAAGAAAAGUGUGCACAUUUAGUUCGUAUCUUGCAUUAAUCUAUACCCGCGCUGUUGGAACAGUGUAUUCAAAAUGGAGAACAGAAUCAAACGAGUGCGAAUUGUGGGGAAAGGACACGCUUCAUGUUUUGAACGUCUAUUGCUAGAGUGGUAUCGGCGAGGGAGUUUCGUCGAUGUAAUUCUAACGUGCGUUGGUAGUCCGGAAAAUCAUUUGGAUGAUGAAGCCGUGGCGCGCCAUAUACCCGCAAACCGAAGUGUAUUGGCAGCAGCUAGUCCAGUGUUUGCCGCCAUGUUUUGUGAAAACCCACUCGUAGAAGAAGAUGUUCGAAUCUCCGUGGUUGGCUACUCAUACACCUCUCUUCGUUCCAUUAUUGAAUAUAUUUACACAGGAUCGCUCGAAUUUUCCGAUUGUGAUAGGGAGCAAAUCAAAGAAAUACUCAGAGAUUUCCUUAUCCCGAUUCCAAACGCGAAAAAAAUCUCGAAAACUCAAGAAGAAGAAACUGUAAUGGACGUUGAAACUUGCGAAUCCAUCACCGAAAGCAGAAGUCAGAUUACAACAGAAAUUGGGGUGGAGAACCGAGGCAACAUCACAUACGAAACGAACACCGUAGCAAGAAACGAAGAAGAAGAAGAAUAUGGAAUUCAAAUAGUUUCAUCCGUCUCUUUGUCAUCCAUAGAGGAUGUCCAAGUGAUACCACCAACCAAAACUUACCGUGCGUGUAAGAAGAGGCCAUUUGCUCCAAAAGUGUUUACCCCUGGCAUGAAGAAUCAUGAGCUAGCUUCAGGUUCUUCCCGGAUAAACGCUCUGCGACCAAAAAGUAAAGUAAACCGCCACGACUCUGAGGAACCAUCGUUUGCCUUAGGAAACAAAACAACAACAGUAUGCGAUUUUCCAAAACUACCAAACGUCUUGGAAUCGACAAUACAGAAACCAUUGAAUGCACACGUCAACACACGAAAUUGCAACCUACCUGUAUCAGAACCAGUCAUUAACCAAGUUGAGCCAACGAAUACUCCUCAACGCAAUGUAAUUCGUAUAUUUAAUCGAAUGGUCGAAGCCCCGCCUUCUUCAAAGAAACAAACAACAAUAGAGCCCCUUCCUAUCCCGUUUUAUCAAUUCGGGCUAUCCAAGAGUUUUGACGAAAAGACGGUCAUCCAACUUGAAAGUGUUUUGGUACCACCGGUGAAAAUAGAUAUUCCAAUCAUGAAAAACGGUCGGAGUGUUUUCACGGUGAGUGAGGAAAUGGCCAGAGCUUCUUAUUACCGCAAUGUCAUAUCUUCUCUGUACGAUGUUCCGGGAACGUACACUUUGUAUCGAGAAAGGCCAACCCCAAACAUAGAUACAAUACCAUUCUAUGAACCUGCUGAAUCCCAAGUUUCCAAAACGCACAUCUUUGUUCCAUCCUAUCUGGAGAAAAAACCCUUGUUCACCUACCAAGACAGGCCUAGUACGAGGGUCCAACGUCCGACGCAAACCAGCAUUUCUCUAUCGGGAAUCAGAAUCGAGUCGGUCCAUCAAGUCAACGGUAAAGUACAUAUUUGUACGGUGGGAGAACCGCUUGUGAAUCAAGCAUCAGAAACUUUGUUUGAGGACUACCCACUUUCUUACCUCAACCCGGAUCAAGUAGUUUCUCGCCUUUCAUUGGAACACAAUUAUUCAUUUGGCGAAACACCGUUGCCUACCGAUAGCGAGUGCUCCAAUCGGAGUGAAUUGGCUAACGAUCUAGAAGACUACAAAAGUGCCAUACAGCUGGCAAUCAAUCAGCAACGUCGCAAAAAUAGGUUGAGACAUCGUAUUCAAUCUUAUUCAAAAGAAGUUUCCACCCUAAAACGCAAAGCCGUGGAGUUGCUUAGCAUAUGUCACAUUAUGCAAGAUGAAGCUCAUGAAAUGGAUCCCGACUACCAGCGACCUAAAAGGAAAACAAGCGAACGGCCAAAAAUCGGGCAAACCAAUGAUGCGGAUGAGAAAGUCCCUUGCACAGUUUGCAAUAAACUAAUCAAGAAAAGUUGGCUCAAGCAACACAUGGUUAUUCUGCACACGGAAGAAAGAAACCACUUGUGCGAUGAAUGUGGCAGAACGUUUGUCAUUAAAGCUCAGUUGCGAGCCCAUCAGCUACGUCAGCACAAGGCUGUACCGGGUAAUCACCUGUGUGAACAGUGCGGUAGGUCAUUCCGAUUCGCUCGUUAUUUAAAUCGCCACAUGUCGUUACAUUCGAGCGAGAAGCCCCACGUUUGCCGGUAUUGUGAUAAAGCUUUCCGACUGAAACCCGUGCUGAUUAAGCACAUUCGCACUCACACUGGGGAGAAACCGUACAAAUGCACGGUUUGCGGAAGAUGCUUCAGACAGAGGACAACUUAUGCGACCCACCUCAAAGUUCACGAGAAGAGACAAGGGGCUGGUGUAACAGAAGGAAAUUCCUCUGGGCUGGGGCAACUUCCUCGCCUGAAAUGUGAUUUUUGCUCUAUGACUUUCAAGCUGGAUCUCUUCUUAAUGCUUCACCGAGCUAAACAUACAGGAGAGACACCUGCAUUGCCUUGCCCUACCUGCAAAGAUACCUUUCCGUCUAUUAAGGAGCUCACUCUUCAUCGCAAGGGCCAGCACCCAGAAUCGGUAUAUGCGUGCCAAAUCUGUCCCAAAGUCUUUACAAACAAGGCCAAUUUUGAUUUCCACGUGCAUAAACAUUCAAAUCCUGAUGCUGUCAAGAAAAAAUAUCCAAAAGUGGAUCCUGUCGAUGCGGGUCCUGUUGGCUGUGACUUUUGCGAUAAAGUUUUCAGAUCGCGUUCCGCUCGUGACUACCACAUUAAGGGAAUUCAUUUAGGUGAUAAAUCGCUCAAGUGUCAAUAUUGCGAUAAAACCUUUUCACAUAAGCCAUCGUUGGAGCAGCACAUGCGGACGCACACGGGCGAGAGGCCUUUUAAAUGUGAUCAGUGCCCAAGUUCAUUUAAACAGCAACAGCAUCUAACAGCCCAUAUGGUUGUUCACACGGGUGAGCGGCCAUUCAGCUGCGACCAUUGUGAUAAAACGUUUCCUCACAAGACUACCCUGUAUGCUCAUUUACGUAUACAUACGGGCAAAAGGCUGAUGUGUACGCAUUGCCGGAAAGUUUUGCCUAGCCUAACACAAUUGAUGCGCCACGAAGAAAAUUGCUCGCUCAAUACCAAUGAAUCUUCCGUUGAAUAACGGAUAUUUUCAUCAUUGCUAUACGCCAAAAAGUUAGGUUUGCACCCCGUUGACGGAUAGUCCUUUUAUCGCGUGUAUACAUAGACUGAGACAACAGUUACCGGAGAAAAAAAACGAGAAGAGGGUGAGGGGAUUUUCAUGUGACAAGUUCCCAAAGCUGUCAAAAUACGUUAUUGAGCUGCCUUUCCCUUUUCGCUUCUAAAAGCACAGUCUUAUCUCGAGUUAGCAGACGCUGCUCUGUGUGUACCAAAUAACAUCGUCGGCGUCGCACGCGGCGUCGUUGACAAAGCAGCAACAUUCUGUAUUUUGAAAAGAAUUGGAUCACCAACUAUAAUACAGUUGCAUUCUACGUUUGGAUUCAAUUUGUCCCCAAAUUCUGAAUCGAUUCCGUGUUUUAUUGAUCACAAAGCUUCAACAUUAUGAUAUGACAUUCUAGAAAAAUAAGGCGACAUUACUUUAAUGACAUCAGUGGAACCACUAUCCCUCUAGUGUAGGCGAGAUGGGGAUCAAGACGAAA